rnacentral:misc_RNA from 1 species
UAGAACUAGGUUCUGAUGUUGCCAAA